ensembl:snoRNA small nucleolar RNA R38
ACAAGUCUGUGAUGAAACAAGUUAUCCCUGUCUGAACAGCAGUGUUGACUUAUUGAAACCCCUGAGACUUGA